rnacentral:rRNA from 1 species
GCAGUCGAGCGGUAACAUUUCUAGCUUGCUAGAAGAUGACGAGCGGCGGACGGGUGAGUAAUGCUUGGGAAUAUGCCUUAUGGUGGGGGACAACAGUUGGAAACGACUGCUAAUACCGCAUAAUGUCUACGGACCAAAGGGGGGGAUCUUCGGACCUCUCGCCAUUUGAUUAGCCCAAGUGAGAUUAGCUAGUUGGUGAGGUAAUGGCUCACCAAGGCGACGAUCUCUAGCUGGUUUGAGAGGAUGAUCAGCCACACUGGGACUGAGACACGGCCCAGACUCCUACGGGAGGCAGCAGUGGGGAAUAUUGCACAAUGGGCGCAAGCCUGAUGCAGCCAUGCCGCGUGUGUGAAGAAGGCCUUCGGGUUGUAAAGCACUUUCAGUAAGGAGGAAAGGGAUGUAGUUAAUAACUGCAUUCUGUGACGUUACUUACAGAAGAAGCACCGGCUAACUUCGUGCCAGCAGCCGCGGUAAUACGAGGGGUGCAAGCGUUAAUCGGAAUUACUGGGCGUAAAGCGUUCGUAGGCGGUUGAUUAAGCAAGAUGUGAAAGCCCAGGGCUCAACCUUGGAACUGCAUUUUGAACUGGUCAACUAGAGUACUGUAGAGGGUGGUGGAAUUUCC